rnacentral:rRNA from 1 species
UACGGAGGGGGCUAGCGUUAUUCGGAAUUACUGGGCGUAAAGCGCGCGUAGGCGGUUUUCCAAGUUGGAGGUGAAAUCCCGGGGCUUAACUCCGGAACUGCCUUCAAAACUGGAUGACUAGAGUUCGAGAGAGGUAAGGGGAAUUCCUAGUGUAGAGGUGAAAUUCGUAGAUAUUAGGAAGAACACCAGUGGCGAAGGCGCCUUACUGGCUCGAUACUGACGCUGAGGUGCGAAAGUGUGGGGAGCAAACAGG